rnacentral:rRNA from 1 species
GCAAAACGAGGGCUUUACUGUCUCCUUUUUCCGGUCAAUGAAAUUGAUCUCCCCGUGCAGAAGCGGGGAUCAACACAUAAGACGAGAAGACCCUAUGGAGCUUUAAACUCAGGCGGCAGGCUACGUCAAACACUCUAAAAUAAUAGACCGAACAGUGUAGAAACUGCCCGAAUGUUUUUGGUUGGGGCGACCCUGGGGAAUGAAAAAACCCCCAUGAAGAUAGGGAAAACUAAUCUCCUACAGACAAAAGCUACAGCUUAAGUCCCCAGAAAAUCUGACUUAUAGAUCCGGCCACGCCGAUCAACGGACCGAGUUACCCUAGGGAUAACAGCGCAAUCCUCUUUUAGAGCCCAUAUCGACAAGAGGGUUUACGACCUCGAUGUUGGAUCAGGACAUCCUAAUGGUGCAGCCGCUAUUGAGGGUUCGUUUGUUCAACGAUUAACAGUCCUACGUGAUCUGAGUUCAGAACCGGGGGGGGGGACUGUUUAUCAAAAACAUAUACGUGAUCUG